UCAGCCAAUGAGAUACCAAAAGCCUAUUAAAAGGUUUACUAAAGAUUCAAAAGUUACUCCAAAAUCUUGUAAGCCAAUGAUCACUCCAAAAAAAUUAAGCACUAAUUUGCUGAAAGAAAUAACUAAGGAUCAUAAAGAAACUCAUCCUGAUAAGAUCUUUGAGUAUUUGGAUCAGGAUAAGGAAUAACAUAUCUGUAUGGAUUAUUCCCUUAACUUUGAAGAGACAC
rnacentral:lncRNA from 1 species